CAGUCGAGGGGCAGCGAGAUCAGUGCUUGCACUGAUUGUCGGCGACCGGCGCACGGGUGCGUAACGCGUAUGCAACCUACCCAUUACAGGGGGAUAACACUGAGAAAUCGGUACUAAUACCCCAUAACAUCCAGGGAGGCAUCUUCUUGGGUUGAAAACUCCGGUGGUAAUGGAUGGGCAUGCGUUGUAUUAGUUAGUUGGUGGGGUAACGGCUCACCAAGACAACGAUACAUAGGGGGACUGAGAGGUUAACCCCCCACAUUGGUACUGAGACACGGACCAAACUCCUACGGGAGGCAGCAGUGAGGAAUAUUGGUCAAUGGACGCAAGUCUGAACCAGCCAUGCCGCGUGCAGGAAGACGGCUCUAUGAGUUGUAAACUGCUUUUGUACGAGGGUAAACGCAGAUACGCGUAUCUGUCUGAAAGUAUCGUACGAAUAAGGAUCGGCUAACUCCGUGCCAGCAGCCGCGGUAAUACGGAGGAUUCAAGCGUUAUCCGGAUUUAUUGGGUUUAAAGGGUGCGUAGGCGGUCGGAUAAGUUAGAGGUGAAAUCCCGAGGCUCAACUUCGGAAUUGCCUCUGAUACUGUUUGGCUAGAGAGUAGUUGCGGUAGGCGGAAUGUAUGGUGUAGCGGUGAAAUGCUUAGAGAUCAUACAGAACACCGAUCGCGAAGGCAGCUUACCAAGCUACUCCUGACGUUGAGGCACGAAAGCGUGGGGAGCAAACAGGAUUAGAUACCCUGGUAGUCCACGCAGUAAACGAUGAUAACUCGUUGUCGGCG
rnacentral:rRNA from 1 species